rnacentral:rRNA from 2 species
UACGGAGGGGGCUAGCGUUGUUCGGAAUUACUGGGCGUAAAGCGCACGUAGGCGGACUGGAAAGUUGGGGGUGAAAUCCCGGGGCUCAACCCCGGAACUGCCUUCAAAACUUCCGGUCUUGAGGUCGAGAGAGGUGAGUGGAAUUCCGAGUGUAGAGGUGAAAUUCGUAGAUAUUCGGAGGAACACCAGUGGCGAAGGCGGCUCACUGGCUCGAUACUGACGCUGAGGUGCGAAAGCGUGGGGAGCAAACAGG